AACGAACGCUGGCGGCAGGCCUAACACAUGCAAGUCGAACGGGACCUUCGGGUCUAGUGGCGGACGGGUGAGUAACGCGUGGGAACGUGCCCUUUGGUUCGGAAUAGCCCCGGGAAGCUGGGAGUAAUACCGGAUAAGCCCUACGGGGGAAAGAUUUAUCGCCAAAGGAUCGGCCCGCGUUGGAUUAGGUAGUUGGUGGGGUAAUGGCCUACCAAGCCGACGAUCCAUAGCUGGUUUGAGAGGAUGAUCAGCCACACUGGGACUGAGACACGGCCCAGACUCCUACGGGAGGCAGCAGUGGGGAAUCUUAGACAAUGGGGGAAACCCUGAUCUAGCCAUGCCGCGUGAUCGAGGAGGGCCUUAGGGUUGUAAAGAUCUUUCAGUGGGGAAGAUAAUGACUGUACCCACAGAAGAAGCCCCGGCUAACUCCGUGCCAGCCGCCGCAGUAA
rnacentral:rRNA from 1 species